GACGAACGCUGGCGGCAGGCCUAACACAUGCAAGUCGAACGGAUCCUUCGGGAUUAGUGGCGGACGGGUGAGUAACACGUGGGAACGUGCCCUUUGGUUCGGAACAACUCAGGGAAACUUGAGCUAAUACCGGAUGUGCCCUUCGGGGGAAAGAUUUAUCGCCAUUGGAGCGGCCCGCGUCUGAUUAGCUAGUUGGUGAGGUAAAGGCUCACCAAGGCGACGAUCAGUAGCUGGUCUGAGAGGAUGAUCAGCCACAUUGGGACUGAGACACGGCCCAAACUCCUACGGGAGGCAGCAGUGGGGAAUCUUGCGCAAUGGGCGAAAGCCUGACGCAGCCAUGCCGCGUGAAUGAUGAAGGUCUUAGGAUUGUAAAAUUCUUUCACCGGGGACGAUAAUGACGGUACCCGGAGAAGAAGCCCCGGCUAACUUCGUGCCAGCAGCCGCCGUAAAAC
rnacentral:rRNA from 1 species